rnacentral:rRNA from 1 species
AAUGAACGUUGGCGGCGUGGAUUAGGCAUGCAAGUCGUACGCAUAGCAUCGGCUAUGAGUGGCGCAAGGGUGAGUAAUGCGAAGGUAACCAACCCUGGUGUUGGGCAUAGCCGCGGGAAACUGCGGGUAAUUCCCAGCGACGUCACGAGAUGGCAUCAUCUUGUGACCAAAGGUGUGAUUCCGCUCUAGGACGGGCCUUCGUGGUAUUAGGUAGUUGGUGAGGUAACGGCUCACCAAGCCGACGGUGCCUACCGGGUGUGAGAGCAUGACCCGGCACACUGGAACUGAGACACUGUCCAGACACCUACGGUGGCGUGCAGUCGAGAAUCUUCGGCGAAUGGGCGAAAGACCUGACCGAGCGACGCCGCGUGAGGGAGUUGAAGGCCGUUCCGGGUUGGUAACCUACUUUCGUUAGAGGAGGAA